CCAUUUUUGUUAAUCAACGAUUAGAAAAUUCAAUGGAAGCAGACGUUCAAUAACCAUUUUCGACAGCAUGCAAAGACUACCUGCAGGACCAUAUGAAUUCAUAUAGGAUUAUUCUUCAUUGGAUAUGAAUCUUUUAAUUGCAUAUCAUGCUCAACUAAAUCUAACAUCAAAAAAAUCAAACACCACCACCAAGUAAGAAAGCUCUAGCGUAAAACUAGGUUCAUUAGCUCCAAACCAAAGAUGUAAAAUUAUCGAUGCCUUAAGAGGAAAAUAUAUACAAUUUAACAAAGAGGGAAAAAGCCUUUCAUUUUUGGCAAAUGAACACUGGCAUAUAGUGUUAGUCCUUAGAAGAACUGUCUUUAAGGGCCAUUAAAUAUAUUCAACCUUUCUCGAUACAACAAAGGAACAGAACCAACUCAAAUUCCAUCUACUUGCUUCGUUCAACUUCCCUGGGUAACUACUAAACAAAGCACAGCCAAAUAGUCACACAUACUUGUGUAGAUCUCUCUGAUCAGUAAAAGGCAAGCUUUGGGCAAGUGUUUGGAGCUUGAAGAAGAAAAACUCCUAGGUUUUUACAGUAUAAAGUUUUUAGAAUAUCUGGAAGAACAAAGUAGUUGAACCAUCACCAAACGAUCUAAGAUCUGCAGGUUUGACCAAGGCCCUGCACAAGGGACACGUCCUUUCCCUCUCAAACCAUUCUGAUACACAAUCUUCACAAAAGAUGUGUUUACAACGAAGUAGAAUGGGAGCAUGCAUCUUCUCCUGGCAUAUAGCGCACAAAUCUCCUGCUGCAUUGACCUGCUCUGAUGUUGCAUAAGCGCCAUAAUGUACUUCUUUACGUGAUAGUGCCUUCAAAGCAGCAAAGAAAGAUUGCACCUUCUCGAAGACAGAUGUGAGCUUGAAAGUCAAGUACAAUCCUGUCAUUAGGGAUGAAAACAGGCUCCCAUAUUCCUUAUUCAAAAAGAAGCGGUACCAAACUGGUGUAGGCAACAAGGCACGAUAUAGCAGCAUCAGAUAUUCAACCAAAGUUAGCAUUUGACCCUGCUUACGAUAAUUCCGGCCUCUACUGUUCUUGUAAUACAUUAGCAAUAUACAUUUGAACACCAUUGCUGCCUGCCGGACCAAAGUAUCAUUCAACAUGAUGAUGAAAAUAGCAUGCCAAAAAGGUGGUAUAGAUUUGGGAGGGAGCAUAAUUAAUGGGUAUAACAGAUCAUCAUUCUGAUACCACCAGUAGACACCAACCACAUGAAGCAUGAAUGCAAGAGAGAUGCCAAUCAAGACACUGAUUUUCCGUUCUCCCUUCAGAGCUGUUUGUUUACGUAGGAUAUCAUUUGACUUGAACAUGACAACAGCAAUCCAAAUUGUAACAAAGAAACCUUGCAAAUGCUGGCGGAUGAAGACAACCAACAGAAGCAAAGAAAAUGGGAGGACUUGCUCAAUCCAUCUGGCAGCUUGCUGAAUAUCAUAUCUCUGGUAAGACGAAUCCCUUCCAUUAGCCCCAGUGCCAUCAGCAGCCUCCCCAUCUCCACUUGCACUGGAAGGCUGCUGAGGAGCACCUUCUCCUGACCCACGAUCAUUUCUAGAAUCUCCCUGAACAUCUGAUUCUAUCCCAGCCCUUGGCUGCUGCACAGACACCUCACCCUGAGCACCCAACUGCCCAACCACCAAUCCAGAGCCCUCCCUGUCAUGCUCAUGUUCUCCUGCACCGAUUAUCCUAAUAGCAACCUCACCAUUGUUGGCUGCCGCAGCUGCUGCUGCUGCGGCUGUAGAAUCAUCAAGUCGAUGAUUAUGAAUCCCACCAGAGGCGUUGAUCAAAGGGUCCGUUUCUUGGUGAGUUGACCUGGAGGUCCGCAAAAGACCCGAAUACUCUAACAAGGCAGAAAUCGGCGCCUGAAUAAUACUUGAAGCCGAUAGCAUUCCGUAUCUCCUGGAAUUACUACUACUUGUACUACUCCCUCCCGAAGACCUAUACGCGUCGGAAUUACUACCAGACGCUUCCAUCUGCGCAGAUGCCCUAACCCUAACCAUAUCCAUCAUAUAUACAUCAUCACCCUAUCAAUCAGGCCAAAGAAAAUACUUCGAAGGCGAAACUCCGUUGAGGACCUUUGAAAUGAGAAAGAAGAAUUCGAAGACAAUGAACAACAGCAAUCAAGACAAAUUAUCUCAUUUGCAGAAACCCUAAACUUAAACCUAAUAAAGAGGAUAGAAAAAGUCAAAUAGGAAAGCGUCGAAAGAAUUUGACCAUUCCCAUUUGAAAGGCCCAAUCUGAGACUUCAAAAUCCGAGAGAUCGAUUGGACCAAAGAGUUGAAAAAAUGACAAAGAAUGUGAAAUGGAGGAAUCUGAUGGACGCCCAGAAAGCCCUUGCCUUGGAUAUAUAUAUAUAUAUUUUUUCCUUCCCUUCUCUGUCUCUCGCUCGCUUUCUUUCUUUCUCGCUCUACGAUUACAUAGAGCGCGAGAGAGAGAAGGAGAAAGGGAUUGUGGAGAGAGAGAGAAAUUGUUAAAUGCAACGCUAAAAGCUUGUACUAAAAUUGGUUAAAAGAGGAUGCAUA
rnacentral:misc_RNA from 1 species